AGUGCGUGUGUGCGCGCGUGUGUGCGCGAGUGUGUGUGCGCGAGUGUGUGUGUGCGCGGGGGUGCGCGCGCGCGGGCGGGAGUGGGCGCGCGCGGGGAAAGGCCCGAAAACACCUUAGUUUUCACCGAGAGACCUUUUGCAGCGGUGUCCCAGGAGCUUUUGCUGACAAUUCCAGUUUCCAAACUAAACAUUUGGGCAAUGGUGAGGGCUUCGAUACCGUCUGUGAGUUGCUGACAACCAUGAAUGGAUGGAUGUGAUGCUGGCUGGCCAAAAGGUGUCCUUCUGUGUGUUGCUCUUCUGUGGCAUCAUGCAUGCCCUCUGCUACUGACUCCAGG